CCUACGGGGGGCUGCAGUAGGGAAUUUUCGGCAAUGGGGGGAACCCUGACCGAGCAACGCCGCGUGAAUGAAGAAGUUAUUCGUAAUGUAAAGUUCUUUUAACAGGGAAGAAAGAGAAAUUUGACGGUACCUGAAGAAUAAGCUCUGGCUAACUACGUGCCAGCAGCCGCGGUAAUACGUAGGGAGCGAGCGUUAUCUGGAAUUAUUGGGCGAAAGGGGUGCGUAGAUGGCAUAGUAAGUCUUUUGUAAAAAUACUGGGCUCAACCCAAUAGGGCAAAAGAUACUGCAAAGCUAGAGGAUGACAGAGGCAAGUGGAACUACAGGGGUAGCGGUAAAAUGCGUAAAUAUAUGUAAGAACACCAGUGGCGAGGGCGGCUUGCUGGGUCGAUACUGACAUUGAGGCACGAAAGCGUGGGGAGCAAACAGGAUUAGAUUCCCCAGUAGUC
rnacentral:rRNA from 1 species